rnacentral:lncRNA from 1 species
UGAGUAUUCCAACCCUGAACAGCUGGGAAAGGAGAAAGAUGUGAAAAAUGAGGAGGGAUCCAGGUGGAAAGAAGAUGAAGAUCCAAUUUUUAUCCAAUGGCACAGAAGGCUCUUCAUGUCCAUGCUCUGUUAAUGUCACCUUCCCCAAGCCGUGUCUGCACCAACUGCCCUGCACAAACCGCCACAGGACACCCACAACCCUGCACCCUGCCCU